AAUAAACCCUGAGUUUUCAUGUACAACGUUUGACCGUUCGUCUUAUUUGAAAAAGUUAUGAAAAAAAAUUUAAAAAAGCAAGUCACGCAUAAAAUAUUAAUUAUGUUUUAUCAUCUAACAACAAUAAAAAUACUAAUUAUAAAAAAUUCUAUAUAAGACAGACAGUCAAACGUUAAACACGGAAAUUUAGGGUUUGUUUUUUU
rfam:Oryza sativa Japonica Group DNA, chromosome 2, cultivar: Nipponbare, complete sequence.